rnacentral:rRNA from 1 species
ACGAACGCUGGCGGCGUGCCUAAUACAUGCAAGUAGAACGCUGAAGAGAGGAGCUUGCUCUUCUUGGAUGAGUUGCGAACGGGUGAGUAACGCGUAGGUAACCUGCCUUGUAGCGGGGGAUAACUAUUGGAAACGAUAGCUAAUACCGCAUAACAAUGGAUGACACAUGUCAUUUAUUUGAAAGGGGCAAUUGUUCCACUACAAGAUGGACCUGCGUUGUAUUAGCUAGUAGGUGAGGUAAUGGCUCACCUAGGCGACGAUACAUAGCCGACCUGAGAGGGUGAUCGGCCACACUGGGACUGAGACACGGCCCAGACUCCUACGGGAGGCAGCAGUAGGGAAUCUUCGGCAAUGGGGGCAACCCUGACCGAGCAACGCCGCGUGAGUGAAGAAGGUUUUCGGAUCGUAAAGCUCUGUUGUAAGUCAAGAACGGGUGUGAGAGUGGAAAGUUCACACUGUGACGGUAGCUUACCAGAAAGGGACGGCUAACUACGUGCCAGCAGCCGCGGUAAUACGUAGGUCCCGAGCGUUGUCCGGAUUUAUUGGGCGUAAAGCGAGCGCAGGCGGUUUGAUAAGUCUGAAGUUAAAGGCUGUGGCUCAACCAUAGUUCGCUUUGGAAACUGUCAAACUUGAGUGCAGAAGGGGAGAGUGGAAUUCCAUGUGUAGCGGUGAAAUGCGUAGAUAUAUGGAGGAACACCGGUGGCGAAAGCGGCUCUCUGGUCUGUAACUGACGCUGAGGCUCGAAAGCGUGGGGAGCGAACAGGAUUAGAUACCCUGGUAGUCCACGCCGUAAACGAUGAGUGCUAGGUGUUGGAUCCUUUCCGGGAUUCAGUGCCGCAGCUAACGCAUUAAGCACUCCGCCUGGGGAGUACGACCGCAAGGUUGAAACUCAAAGGAAUUGACGGGGGCCCGCACAAGCGGUGGAGCAUGUGGUUUAAUUCGAAGCAACGCGAAGAACCUUACCAGGUCUUGACAUCGAGUGACGAACUUAGAGAUAAGUUUUUCCUUCGGGACACGAAGACAGGUGGUGCAUGGUUGUCGUCAGCUCGUGUCGUGAGAUGUUGGGUUAAGUCCCGCAACGAGCGCAACCCCUAUUGUUAGUUGCCAUCAUUCAGUUGGGCACUCUAGCGAGACUGCCGGUAAUAAACCGGAGGAAGGUGGGGAUGACGUCAAAUCAUCAUGCCCCUUAUGACCUGGGCUACACACGUGCUACAAUGGUUGGUACAACGAGUUGCGAGUCGGUGACGGCGAGCUAAUCUCUUAAAGCCAAUCUCAGUUCGGAUUGUAGGCUGCAACUCGCCUACAUGAAGUCGGAAUCGCUAGUAAUCGCGGAUCAGCACGCCGCGGUGAAUACGUUCCCGGGCCUUGUACACACCGCCCGUCACACCACGAGAGUUUGUAACACCCGAAGUCGGUGAGGUAACCUUUUGGAGCCAGCCGCCUAAGGUGGGACAGAUGAUUGGGGUG